CCCUUAGAUGUUCUGGGCCGCACGCGCGCUACACUGACGAUGGCAACGAGUUUUUCCUUCGCCGAAAGGUGUGGGUAAUCUUUUGAAACAUCGUCGUGCUGGGGAUAGAUCAUUGCAAUUUUUGAUCUUGAACGAGGAAUUCCUAGUAAGCGCGAGUCAUCAGCUCGCGUUGAUUACGUCCCUGCCCUUUGUACACACCGCCCGUCGCUCCUACCGAUUGAAUGCUCAGGUGAGCCAUUCGGACUUUCAUCAUGCUGGUUUCCAGUUUUGAUGAAGGAAAGUCUUGCGAACCUUAUCAUUUAGAGGAAGGAGAAGUCGUAACA
rnacentral:rRNA from 1 species